GGUUGUCUUCCUGGUUCAUCCUCCAAUCCCUUCUUGCUGCAAGCCUCCAAUCCCGCACCUCUACCAUCUCAUUCGUCCAAUUGAUCGCCGCCCUAUGCAUCGGCCAACUACUCCGCUAACAACCCACUGCUCUGUCGUGCUCGGAGCACUAGGGUUUUGACCUUCUAUCCCCAACUCAUCUCCGUCGUGCUCGUGCACGCCGACCGGUAGAACUCCGGCCCUCCACAUCCGCGCGCAUCUUCGUCAUUCAUUGCUGGGAACGAGUCCUCCAGCCAUGGCGUUGGUGUCGUUGGGGGAGGAAGACGGGGUGAGGAUGAGUCCCGGCGUCCUGGAGUUGGUGGACACGCCAUCGCCUACAGCGGGGACUUCCGCAAGGCCACGGACUACUUCGGCGUCCUCUACGAUACCGCAGCCCUCGCGCUAUCCGCUUUCACCGCCGAGGCCAUCCACCGCAACCCCGGAAACUACACUGUCUGGCAUUUCAGGCGUGUUAUUCUAGAGCGACUAGAUGAUGAUUUGCUACAAGAACUCACAGCCCGAGGAGGCUUGGCCUAGGUUGCAUCACUACUGUUGCCGCUAUGCUCCAUGCGGAUGCUUGGAAAAGGGAAUGGGAAAUUACAGUAAGAUACAUUGUCUCAUUUAUCAUAGUUGCUUCAGUAAUACAUUGCAUAGUCUUUGCAAACAAAUUAAAUCUACAAGAGCCAAUGAAAUAUAUUCACGAUUUUCUGCAUAUAAUUAAUGUGUUGUAUAACAUUUUCCAUGAUUGUGAGGCUCGCAGCCAAUUUCUAGAAGCUUAAUCUUAUCGGCACAUAAGAGGUCUGCAUUCUCUGUGGUGUUUCUCAUAUAAAAUUAGACAUCUCUUUCUACAAAGAAGCCAUCAAUUGUACAGAAAACAUAUGUAUUGCUUAGAAUUGAUUCAGCUUCAUGCCAAUAGGUAUCUCAGUGCUAAUUA